ACGGAGGGUGCUAGCGUUGUUCGGAAUUACUGGGCGUAAAGCGCAGGUAGGCGGCUUUGUAAGUCAGAGGUGAAAGCCUGGAGCUCAACUCCAGAACUGCCUUUGAGACUGCAUCGCUUGAAUCCAGGAGAGGAGGGUGGAAUUCCGGGUGUAGAGGUGAAAUUCGUAGAUAUUCGGAAGAACACCAGUGGCGAAGGCGACUCACUGGACGGGUAUUGACGCUGAGGUGCGAAAGCGUGGGGAUCAAACAG
rnacentral:rRNA from 1 species